ensembl:lncRNA
UGUAGCUCUCUCCCUUUUGAUCGUGCCUCUCGCCGUUGUACAUUGACAACAGUGGAUUUGAGGAACACCAAAAACGCUGGCAAGUAAACUCUUCAAGGUACAGUGUGGUUCUGAAUGCAGCUUUUAGAGACCAACUCUCUGAAACUUCAUUAGUAUCUCCAGAACACAACUUGCUGGGCUGCUCUGGAUCCCAGACUCGCUACCGGCCCUGUUUCGACAACGAAUCCAUGUACAAUCCAACAGGGAAGAGAGUCGGUCUAUCGAUCCAAAGAAUGGGAGGCAUCAAAAGAUCCUUAGGAGCAGGAGCUGAAAGGAGCAGCGAUGGCGAAGAAUCAGGAAGCAACCAAUUCGGAAGGAGACUACCAGACAUGAGAGGAAUACUUUUUCCAAUUGG